rnacentral:misc_RNA from 1 species
UACAAGUUACAAUUCAUUUUAGUAACAUAAAACUGUUUUAUAUUAUCAAUAUUAUAAUGUUGUGUUUAUGUAUCUAGUUUUGAGAGAACUUUUUUUCUCUCAUGUUCUUUGAAAACUGAAUAGUAAAGAUAAAUUAAUAUAACAACGACAUCAAAAAAAUAAAUUAGUCAAUUUGUUUUGUGAUACCGAGUUAAUUAUUUUGGAAAAAAAUAAUUUAUUAAAAUGUCUUUGAAUACAUCAAAACAAUAGGAAAAUAUU